rnacentral:rRNA from 1 species
CCUACGGGUGGCAGCAGUAGGGAAUCUUCCACAAUGGGCGAAAGCCUGAUGCAGCAACGCCGCGUGGGUGAAGAAGGUCUUCGGAUUGUAAAACCCUGUUGUUCGAGAAGCAAGUGCGUGAGAGUAACUGUUCACGUUUCGACGGUAUCUAACCAGAAAGCCACGGCUAACUACGUGCCAGCAGCCUCGGUAAUACGUAGGUGGCAAGCGUUAUCCGGAUUUAUUGGGCGUAAAGGGAACGCAGGCGGUCUUUUAAGCCUGAUGUGAAAGCCUUCGGCUUAACCGGAGUAGUGCAUUGGAAACUGGGAGACUUGAGUGCAGGAGAGGUGAGUGGAACUCCAGGUGUAGCGGUGAAAUGCGUAGAUAUAUGGAAGAACCCCAGUGGCGAAGGCGGCUCUCUGGCCUGUAACUGACGCUGAGGUUCGAAAGCGUGGGUAGCAAACAGGAUUAGAUACCCGUGUAGUC